rnacentral:rRNA from 1 species
UACAGAGGUCUCAAGCGUUGUUCGGAUUCAUUGGGCGUAAAGGGUGCGUAGGCGGCGCGGUAAGUCGGGUGUGAAAUCUCGGAGCUUAACUCCGAAACUGCAUUCGAUACUGCCGUGCUUGAGGACUGGAGAGGAGACUGGAAUUUACGGUGUAGCGGUGAAAUGCGUAGAUAUAGGAAGGAACACCAGUGGCGAAGGCGACCACCUGGACUGAUACUGACACUGAGGUGCGAAAGCGUGGGGAGCAAACAGG